rnacentral:rRNA from 1 species
GGUUGACCUCGGAUCAGGUAGGGAUACCCGCUGAACUUAAGCAUAUCAAUAAGCGGAGGAAAAGAAACCAACCGGGAUUGCCUAGUAACGGCGAGUGAAGCGGCAAGAGCUCAAAUUUGAAAGCUGGCUCCUUCGGGGUCCGCAUUGUAAUUUGCAGAGGAUGCUUCGGGAGCGGUCCCCAUCUAAGUGCCCUGGAACGGGCCGUCAUAGAGGGUGAGAAUCCCGUCUGGGAUGGGGUGCCCGCGCCCGUGUGAAGCUCCUUCGACGAGUCGAGUUGUUUGGGAAUGCAGCUCUAAUUGGGUGGUAAAUUUCAUCUAAAGCUAAAUAUUGGCCGGAGACCGAUAGCGCACAAGUAGAGUGAUCGAAAGAUGAAAAGCACUUUGAAAAGAGAGUUAAACAGCACGUGAAAUUGUUGAAAGGGAAGCGCUUGCGAUCAGACUCGCCCGCGGGGUUCAGCCGGCAUUCGUGCCGGUGUACUUCCCCGUGGGCGGGCCAGCGUCGGUUUGGGCGGCCGGUCAAAGGCCCCUGGAAUGUAACGCCUCUCGGGGCGUCUUAUAGCCAGGGGUGCCAUGCGGCCUGCCCGGACCGAGGAACGCGCUUCGGCUCGGACGCUGGCAUAAUGGUCGUAAGCGACC